UACGGAGGGUGCAAGCGUUUAUCCGGAUUCACUGGGUUUAAAGGGUGCGUAGGUGGGCAGGUAAGUCAGUGGUGAAAUCUCCGGGCUUAACCCGGAAACUGCCAUUGAUACUAUCAGUCUUGAAUACCGUGGAGGUAAGCGGAAUAUGUCAUGUAGCGGUGAAAUGCUUAGAUAUGACAUAGAACACCAAUUGCGAAGGCAGCUUACUACAGGGACAUUGACACUGAGGCACGAAAGCGUGGGGAUCAAACAGG
rnacentral:rRNA from 1 species